UUCUAUGCCUCCAGUUUCUGGGGACAGAUUGGUAGAGUUAGUAUUCUUGAUCUCUGCUGGGCAAAGAUCUCAGUCUAUAGAGCCUCUAAGUUCACUUUUAGAUGCCUUCAUCAGGACAAAUAUGAUGCAUUUUUUCAACAGACUUACCAGUAAAUGACACCAAUGAUAAAGUGACAUUCUCAAAAUGUGUUGCUGUUGAAAAUGUCUUCAUACUUGAAAAAGUUGAAAACCACCAUCCUAUGCCAUAUUGUGUCACUGAUGGUUGGAAAUCUGACGCGGGGAGAAAGGAGGUGUUUGGUCUCAUACCCCGAGGAAGACGGUGUAUUGGAAGCUGCUCCUCGGUGUCUCCUGAUCGUCGGCAGUGAGUAUGGCUCUACCAUGUGCCCCGGUCGCUUCGCUGCUGGCCACUCCCUGGAGCUCUGUGCACGGCCUGGGUGGGAUGCAGCCCCCUCACCCUGGGUUUCGAUAAAGGAGGAGAACGCGAUGCUGGUAGCUUUGACUCUACCCUGUUUUCCCGUCAGUCUCUCCAGCAUCAUUAGGCCAGACAGCCAGGUGUUCAGACUUGGAACACAGGUGGGAAAACAGAAGAAUCUUUCCCCAGGUCUCACAGGGAAGCACUAUGGAGGGAAACGCUUUCAGAAAAAGAUCCCUCGCCCUCUCUCUGAGUCCUUGCUGGCUCCCCUGGCCUUCAUAUUUCCUCUUCCUCUCUCUUCCUCUUAAGGAAACUCAAGUUAUCCCCAAGCAUUACCUUGCUCCCGGGUCUGCCUUUCCUCUGCAGCUCUCGGCUCCUUCCUCCCGGCAGUGCACACGUGGGUGUGUGGAAGUCCCCAGAGAUCUCACGGAAACAGGCCGUUCUGCAGCUCUGCAGUGGAGCGCGACAGUGUGCACGUCCACCGCCUUCCCAGGGGCCAUAACGCAUAAAACAGAUGCAGGUGGAGCUGCUGCGGUUGGAAUGGGGGCUGGGUCCUCCCGGGAGGAACAAACGCUGGCGCUCUACAGAACUCAGUUUGUGAGCUAUCAGGUGAAUCCACAGCCCCGCCACCACACCAAGAAAUCAGAGGUGGGUGUGUCUUCCUUUAUAAAUCACGUUGGAUGUAUCUGCAGGUUAACUAGAUACCUGACUGCCUUCCAGACAGAAGGAUGACUCACACUGUCACUCCCCGUGAUUUUGAUCCUAGAACCAUUCCUGAUUUCCUAGAAACAAAGAGUCAAGGCCAGAAUUGAACCAUGGAGGCAAACAAUAUCCCAGUCCCCAGAAAGAAACACACAGUAACAGCACAAAGUUACCUAAAACAACCUGGGUCAAGCCUGCUUCUAAACGCCUGCUGCAUGCUGCUUCUCUGCGCUAUGAGGUGGCGCCUUCUGACGCGAGCCUAAGGCACAGAGAGCUUCAGUAACUUCUCCAUGGUCUCUGCUUAUUCAACGAUGAAGCGAAAGGAUCGGUCUAAUCCAGUGGCGGUGAACCCACGGCAGGUGUCCCACAGAGGACUGUUGGCAUCAUGGAAAGUUCUGAAGGAUUUGCCAUCCCUGGGUUCGUCUGCCCCGUGAUUGGGUUCGUAAGUCCUCUUUGAUGAGGAUAGCUCUAAAAGUUCCCAUCCCGAUGUUGAUGCUUUCUACUUUAGAGAGUUCUUUUUUCUCUUUGCUUCUGCUGCUUUUCCAAGAAGUUGAGAAAUCUGCGGCCCCUUCUCCUGUGGACUGACACUAUUCACCUCGCAGAAUCCAUCUGCGGACAGCAACUGUAGGUCACAGUCCAAGUCGCUCCCCAUUUUCAUCCUUGUAGAGAGUGAACUGCGAUGCGGAACUAUCUUUAGUGCUCAGAGCAGAGCUCUUGGAGGCUGCUCGUGGUAUCGGAGCUCGAGCCAAAUAAAGGUUAUUUCUGGUCCUCAGAGCCUCUGCCGUCUGUUGCCCUACAGUUUCUUCCACUUGGCUGUGCUUUCUGUGCCUGGAUGCUGUGUCCUCAUUUCAGCACUGACCUCCCCCAACUCCCCGUAAGUCAAGCGGCACCCACCGCUGAACUUGAUGUUCCCCAUCUUGGCGGUGGGACAUUUGAGUGUUCAGACAGAAGAUAGUCUCUUUCUUACAUCAAGGUUGGCUUAGCUUGGAAAAGUCAAGUAAGCAAAUUGAUUCACCUAUGCCUCUUUUUUCUUUAUAAUAGUUAAUAUUAAUAAAAU
ensembl:lincRNA